rnacentral:rRNA from 2 species
UAAUUAUAACCGCGAAUCUGCGAAUGGCUCAUUAAAUCAGUUAUCGUUUAUUUGAUAGUACCUUACUACUUGGAUAACCGUGGUAAUUCUAGAGCUAAUACAUGCUUAAAACCCCGACUCACGGAGGGGUGUAUUUAUUAGAUUAAAAACCAAUGCCCUUCGGGGCUUUUUGGUGAUUCAUAAUAACUUCUCGAAUCGCAUGGCCUUGUGCCGGCGAUGGUUCAUUCAAAUUUCUGCCCUAUCAACUUUCGAUGGCAGGGUCUUGGCCUGCCAUGGUUACAACGGGUAACGGAGGGUUAGGGCUCGACCCCGGAGAAGGAGCCUGAGAAACGGCUACUACAUCCAAGGAAGGCAGCAGGCGCGCAAAUUACCCAAUCCCGAUACGGGGAGGUAGUGACAAUAAAUACUGAUACAGGGCUCUUUUGGGUCUUGUAAUUGGAAUGAGUACAAUUUAAAUCCCUUAACGAGGAACAAUUGGAGGGCAAGUCUGGUGCCAGCAGCCGCGGUAAUUCCAGCUCCAAUAGCGUAUAUUAAAGUUGUUGCAGUUAAAAAGCUCGUAGUUGAACCUUGGGCCUGGCUGGCCGGUCCGCCUCACCGCGUGCACUGGUUCGGCCGGGCCUUUCCCUCUGGGGAAUCCCAUGCCCUUCACUGGGUGUGGCGAGGAACCAGGACUUUUACUGUGAAAAAAUUAGAGUGUUCAAAGCAGGCCUAUGCUCGAAUACAUUAGCAUGGAAUAAUAGAAUAGGACGUGUGGUUCUAUUUUGUUGGUUUCUAGGACCGCCGUAAUGAUUAAUAGGGACAGUCGGGGGCAUCAGUAUUCAAUUGUCAGAGGUGAAAUUCUUGGAUUUAUUGAAGACUAACUACUGCGAAAGCAUUUGCCAAGGAUGUUUUCAUUAAUCAGGAACGAAAGUUAGGGGAUCGAAGACGAUCAGAUACCGUCGUAGUCUUAACCAUAAACUAUGCCGACUAGGGAUCGGACGAUGUUAUUUUUUGACUCGUUCGGCACCUUACGAGAAAUCAAAGUUUUUGGGUUCUGGGGGGGAGUAUGGUCGCAAGGCUGAAACUUAACGU